CAAUAGCGUAUAUUUAAGUUGUUGCAGUUAAAAAGCUCGUAGUUGGAUUUCGGGUGGGACGCAGCGGUCUCGCAUUGCGUUUGUACUGCUGCAGCCCUCCUUCUUGCCGGGGGCGGCCGCUCGGACUUCACUGUCUGGGGGUCAGAAUCGGCGAUGUUACUUUGAGUAAAUUAGAGUGUUCAAAGCAAGCUUACGCUCUGAAUAUAAUAGCAUGGGAUAACACGACAGGACUCUGGCCUAUCGUGUUGGUCUAUAGGACCAGAGUAAUGAUUAAGAGGGACAGUCGGGGGCAUUCGUAUUCCGUUGUCAGAGGUGAAAUUCUUGGAUUUACGGAAGACGAACAUCUGCGAAAGCAUUUGCCAAGGAUGUUUUCAUUGA
rnacentral:rRNA from 1 species